GUCCACGCUGUAAACGUUGGGCGCUAGGUGUGGGGGGCCGUCUCCGGUUCUCUGUGCCGCAGCUAACGCAUUAAGCGCCCCGCCCUGGGGAGGUACGGCCGCAAGGCUAAAACUCAAAGGAAUUGACGGGGGCCCGGCACAAGCGGCGGAGCAUGCGGAUUAAUUCGAUGCAACGCGAAGAACCUUACCUGGGUUUGACAUGGCCGCUAAAGCCGCAGAGAUGUGGUGUCCUUCGGGGCGGGUCACAGGUGGUGCAUGGCUGUCGU
rnacentral:rRNA from 1 species